GGAUUAGAUACCCUGGUAGUCCACGCCGUAAACGAUGGAUACUAGCUGUUCGAUUUUCGGAUUGAGUGGCUAAGCGAAAGUGAUAAGUAUCCCACCUGGGGAGUACGUUCGCAAGAAUGAAACUCAAAGGAAUUGACGGGGGCCCGCACAAGCGGUGGAGCAUGUGGUUUAAUUCGAUGAUACGCGAGGAACCUUACCAGGGCUUAAAUGUAGUAGGACAGAUUUGGAAACAGAUUUUUCUUCGGACUUAUUACAAGGUGCUGCAUGGUUGUCGUCAGCUCGUGCCG
rnacentral:rRNA from 1 species